UACGUAGGGUGCGAGCGUUAAUCGGAAUUACUGGGCGUAAAGCGUGCGCAGGCGGUUCGUUAAGACAGAUGUGAAAUCCCCGGGCUUAACCUGGGAACUGCAUUUGUGACUGGCGAGCUAGAGUAUGGCAGAGGGGGGUAGAAUUCCACGUGUAGCAGUGAAAUGCGUAGAGAUGUGGAGGAAUACCGAUGGCGAAGGCAGCCCCCUGGGCCAAUACUGACGCUCAUGCACGAAAGGCGUGGGGAGCAAACGAGGA
rnacentral:rRNA from 1 species